rnacentral:rRNA from 1 species
GAUGGACGCUGGCGGCGUGCCUAAAACAUGCAAGUCGAGCGGUAAGGCCUCUUCGGAGGUACACGAGCGGCGGACGGGUGAGUAACACGUGGGAAUCUACCCCAAACUGAGGGAUAAGCACCGGAAACGGUGUCUAAUACCGCAUAUGGUCUUCGGAUUAAAGCUUCGGCGGUUUGGGAAGAGCCCGCGUAAGAUUAGCUAGUUGGUGAGGUAAAGGCUUACCAAGGCGACGAUCUUUAGCUGGUUUGAGAGGAUGAUCAGCCACACUGGAACUGAGACACGGCCCAGACUCCUACGGGAGGCAGCAGUUAGGAAUUUUCCACAAUGGGCGCAAGCCUGAUGGAGCAACGCCGCGUGCAGGAUGAAGGUUUUCGGAUUGUAAACUGCUUUUAUGUGCGAAGAAUAUGACGGUAACACAUGAAUAAGGAUCGGCUAACUCCGUGCCAGCCGCCGCGGUAA